GCCGACGACGCGGGGUGCCGUGCACCGUGACGGCUGAGAUCACACCCGUUGAACCUGAUCUAGCUCGUACUAGCGAAGGGAACGUCGUGGCCGUGCUGC
rnacentral:ncRNA from 2 species